UGAAUACGAGACGCUAAGGCGUCGAAGUAGUGUAUGUCAUACUUCCAAGAAAAGCUUGCACUGUCAUAGAUAAAAAACGCCUGUACCAUAACCGACACAGGUGGGUAGGUAGAGUAUACUAAGGGGCGCGAGAUAACUCUCUCUAAGGAACUCGGCAAAAUAACUCCGUAACUUCGGGAGAAGGAGUGCCUUAUUCGUAAGGUUGCAAUAACAAGAUCAAGCAACUGUUUAUCAAAAACACAGGUCUCCGCUAAGUCGUAAGACGAUGUAUGGGGGCUGACGCCUGCCCAGUGCCAGAAGGUUAAAGAAGUUGGUUAGCAAUUGCGAAGCUGAUAACUGAAGCCCUGGUGAACGGCGGCCGUAACAAUAACGGUCCUAAGGUAGCGAAAUUCCUUGUCGGGUAAGUUCCGACCCGCACGAAAGGCGUAAUGAUUUGGAUACUGUCUCGGAGAGGGGCUCGGUGAAAUAGACUUGUCUGUGAAGAUGCGGACUACCUGCACCAGGACAGAAAGACCCUAUGAAGCUUUACUGUAACUUGAAAUUGAAAUUGGACUUUAUUCGCGCAGUAUAGGUGGGAGGCGUUGAUUAUAAUCUUGUGGGAUUAUUGGAGCCAUCAGUGAGAUACCACUCUUGUAAUGUUAGAUUUCUAACUUUGAAUCAUUAUCUGGUCAAAGAACAGUUUCAGGCGGGCAGUUUGACUGGGGCGGUCGCCUCCUAAACGGUAACGGAGGCGUACAAAGGUUUCCUCUGAACGGUUAGAAAUCGUAUCUAGAGUGUAAAGGCAUAAGGAAGCUUGACUGUGAGACCUACAAGUCGAGCAGGGACGAAAGUCGGUCUUAGUGAUCUGACGGUACUGAGUGGAAAGGCCGUCACUCAACGGAUAAAAGUUACUCUAGGAUAACAGGCUGAUCUCCCCCAAGAGUUCACAUCGACGGGGAGGUUUGGCACCUUGAUGUCGGCUCAUCGCAUCCUGGGGCGGUAGUACGUCCCAAGGGUUGGGCUGUUCGCCCAUGAAAGCGGUACGCGAGCUGGGUUCAGAACGUCGUGAGACAGUUCGGUCCAUAUCCGGUGUAGGCGUUAGAAUAUUGAGAGGAGCCUUCUUUAGUACGAGAGGACCGAGAAGGACAUACCUCUGGUGUACCAGUUAUCGUGCCAACGGUAAACGCUGGGUAGCUAUGUAUGGAGUGGAUAACCGCUGAAAGCAUCUAAGUGGGAAGCCCACCUCAAGAUAAG
rnacentral:rRNA from 1 species